rnacentral:rRNA from 1 species
UUAUGGCUCAGAUUGAACGCUGGCGGCAGGCCUAACACAUGCAAGUCGAACGGUAACAGGAAGCAGCUUGCUGCUUGCUGACGAGUGGCGGACGGGUGAGUAAUGUCUGGGAAACUGCCCGAUGGAGGGGGAUAACUACUGGAAACGGUAGCUAAUACCGCAUAAUGUCGCAAGACCAAAGAGGGGGACCUUCGGGCCUCUUGCCAUCGGAUGUGCCCAGAUGGGAUUAGCUUGUUGGUGAGGUAACGGCUCACCAAGGCGACGAUCCCUAGCUGGUCUGAGAGGAUGACCAGCCACACUGGAACUGAGACACGGUCCAGACUCCUACGGGAGGCAGCAGUGGGGAAUAUUGCACAAUGGGCGCAAGCCUGAUGCAGCCAUGCCGCGUGUAUGAAGAAGGCCUUCGGGUUGUAAAGUACUUUCAGCGGGGAGGAAGGGGUUAAGGUUAAUAACCUUAGCCAUUGACGUUACCCGCAGAAGAAGCACCGGCUAACUCCGUGCCAGCCGCAGC